rnacentral:rRNA from 1 species
GAUGAUAGGAAGCUUGCUUCCUUGAUUAGUGGCGCACGGGUGAGUAUACCAUAGAUAAUGUACCUCUUAGUUUGGGAUAGCCACUGGAAACGGUGAUUAAUACCAGAUACUCCUUCUCGUUAUAAGACGAGUCGGGAAAGUUUUUUCGCUAAGAGAUCAGUCUAUGUCCUAUCAGCUAGUUGGUGAGGUAAUGGCUCACCAAGGCUAUGACGGGUAUCUGGUUUGAGAGGAUGAUCAGACACACUGGAACUGAGACGCGGUCCAGACUCCUACGGGAGGCAGCAGUGAGGAAUAUUGCACAAUGGAGGAAACUCUGAUGCAGCAACGCCGCGUGGAGGAUGACGCAUUUCGGUGUGUAAACUCCUUUUAAGAGGGAAGAUAAUGACGGUACCUCUUGAAUAAGCACCGGCUAACUCCGUGCCAGCAGCCGCGGUAAUACGGAGGGUGCAAGCGUUACUCGGAAUCACUGGGCGUAAAGGGUGCGUAGGCUGGCUUCUAAGUCAGAUGUGAAAUCCAAUGGCUCAACCAUUGAACUGCAUUUGAAACUGGGAGCCUAGAGUUCAGAAGGGGCAGAUGGAAUUAGUGGUGUAGGGGUAAAAUCCGUAGAUAUCACUAGGAAU